rnacentral:rRNA from 1 species
UAACCUGCCCAAGAGAUCGGGAUAACACCUGGAAACAGAUGCUAAUACCGGAUAACAACAGAUGAUGCCUAUCAACUGUUUAAAAGAUGGUUCUGCUAUCACUCUUGGAUGGACCUGCGGUGCAUUAGCUAGUUGGUAGGGUAACGGCCUAACAAGGCGAUGAUGCAUAGCCGAGUUGAGAGACUGAUCGGCCACAUUGGGACUGAGACACGGCCCAAACUCCUACGGGAGGCAGCAGCU